UGAAAUGAAAAGAGAGCUUGUUUUCCUAUUUAUUUCUCAGAUGCACGGAUGCAGCAUUUCUUGGACUGCUCUGAAAAGAAUAAGAAACACAAGCUUCUUUCUUUAGAGCCUAAUUUAAAAUGUGUUUUUUGAAAUUAAAAAUAAACCCAGAAUGCACAGGAUUUUAAAAUAGGAUGGGCUGGAGUGACGUGAAUGGCAGGGAGGAACUAUCCUUUCCUAAUUUCCUCUUCAAGUUAGGUGCGCAGCCAAGUUGUACGUUUUCUCCAGGCAAUUAAAGCUCCUGUCUCCAGUCCAACAAGAGGCCUCUUAUCAACAACAGCAGCCCUGCUGCCCAGCAGACUUCUUCCAGAGCCUUCCGGACAUGGUUAACCCCUGGCAAACAAGGGGCUUUGUGAGGCAAAGGCAGAGGCAGAGGCACUCACUGGGACAUCAGGAAUUCAUGGGCAUGGCUGGCAGAUGCUGUAUGCGUUUGAGCUGUAGAGAGAGCAUGGUGAGAGGGUUGGGGAUGUGGCUCAAGCGGUAGCGUGCUCGCCUGGUGUGCCUGCGGCCCGGGUUCGAUCCUCAGCACCACAUACAAACAAAGAUGUUGUGUCCGCCAAAAACUAAAAUAAAUAAAUAAAUAUUAAAAAAAAAAAAAAAAAAAAAAAAAAGAGAGCAUGGUGAGAAUACAGAAAGUUGAAAUGUAGACUCAUUAAAGUGGAAAACUGCUCAAAAAUCCAUCUGGGUAGCCUUUCCUUAGGUCUAAAUGCUACUGCACAGGAAGCUGAAAUACCUUCUUUCCUUUCACCAUAAACAGGCGUUCCCUUUUAAGUUCAAGAGCAAGUUCAAGUUGCCUGUCUUAUCAGUGUUUUUACAGAUUUCACAAUCUGGGGUUGUGUGGUUUCCCGUGUCUCACUCUCUGGCUAGAAGAAAUUUGUCAUUUGAGUUUUUAAGAUUUAUUAUUUCUUCCCUAUUUCAUGCCAUCUGAGCCCCUAGCUUUUUAAUUAAAAAUUGAAAUGGAUAGAAAGUUUUUAUUCUUUAUUCCUGUUUAUAAAUUAUUGAAACAAAAUGGCUGUACUUAUCUUAUUUAGGAAAAGUCUCUUACCCCAAAGUGAGUGGUUUUGUUUUUGAUUGUUGAAUGUUUCCUUUUUGGGGAAAAAAAAAAAAAAAAAGAAA